GCUGAAUUUAAGCAUAUAAGUAAGUGGUGGAAAUUAAACCAAAUGGGAUUUCUUUAGUAAUUGCGAAUGAACAAGGAUAUGCUUAGCUUGACAAAUGGAGCUAUUAGCUUUGAGUUGUAUUGUGGAAAUGUAUUACCAACAGAGGUGCAGGUGCCAGCCUAUUGAAAGAAAGCGUCAAUGAGGGUGAUAAUCCUGUUUGUCAUGUGCAGCCCUCUGUGCACGGUGUAUAUUUGUUGAGUCACACUCCUUGGCAUUGGAAUGCAAAGUGGGUGGUAAGUUUCAUGUAAAGGUAAAUAUGCAAUUGAGACUGAUAGCACACAAGUACCAUGAGGGAAAUAUGAAAAGGACUUUGAAAAGAGAAUUAAAUGAGUUUGUAUUUGCUGAACAAAAAGUAAACAGACUUGAUUUCUUUGGUGAGGUUGUUGUGCUUGCCUGACAAUAAGUUUUGGUGGUGGGUACAAUGAUUCUUUCUUGGCAUGCCAGUUUCUAUUUGUACAUUUGAUUACCUUUGCAUAUGAAUGGGAAGUUUCUUGUGGGGGGGUUGAUUGCAUGUGCAUGUAAUGAUUUGUGUUUUGAUGUAUGAGUCUGGUGUUUCUGUCGGUGUUUCUGUGCUUGAGGUUGAUUCCUUCCUUGGACUGACAAGCCCUGACACCCACAUGCUGGCAAACUGCUUCUGCUUGACCCGUCUUGAAACACGGACCAA
rnacentral:rRNA from 1 species